rnacentral:lncRNA from 1 species
UUUUUCUUGCUCUUUUGCCUCCUUUUCUCUCGUUUGUUUUUCUAACUCAUUUUCAUCUUCUUCUUUUUCAUUUCUUUCAAUUUCUUUUUCAAUGUUCUUUUCUUCAUUUUCUUUUUCUCUCACUUUUUUGAUUUCUUUUUCUUUUUCAUUUUUCUUUUCUUUUUCUUUUUCUUUUUCACUACAAUGUGCGGAUGACACGAAAGAAUCAAAAAGAUAAUCAUUUGGCUCAAAGAAAG